rnacentral:rRNA from 1 species
UACGGAGGGUGCGAGCGUUGUCCGGAAUCAUUGGGCGUAAAGGGCGCGUAGGUGGCCCGGUCAGUUCGUGGUGAAAGCGCGGGCUCAACCCUGCGUCGGCCAUGAAUACUGCCGCGGCUGGAGCACUGUAGAGGCAGGCGGAAUUCCGGGUGUAGCGGUGGAAUGCGUAGAGAUCCGGAAGAACACCGGUGGCGAAGGCGGCCUGCUGGGCAGUGCUGACACUGAGGCGCGACAGCGUGGGGAGCAAACAGGG